AGUGAACGCUGGCGGUAGGCCUAACACAUGCAAGUCGAACGGCAGCACAGUAAGGGCUUGCUCUUACGGGUGGCGAGUGGCGGACGGGUGAGGAAUACAUCGGAAUCUACUUUUUCGUGGGGGAUAACGUAGGGAAACUUACGCUAAUACCGCAUACGACCUACGGGUGAAAGCAGGGGAUCUUCGGACCUUGCGCGAUUGAAUGAGCCGAUGUCGGAUUAGCUAGUUGGCGGGGUAAAGGCCAACCAAGGCGACGAUCCGUAGCUGGUCUGAGAGGAUGAUAGGCACACUGGAACCGGAGAAAGGGCCAGGACUCCACCGGGAGGCACAAUUGGGAAAAAUGGAAAAAUGGGGGAAAGCUUGAUCCAGCCAUACGCCGUGGGUGAAGAAGGCCUUCGGUUUGUAAAGCCUUUUGUUGGGAAAGAAAAGCAGCAGGUUAAUACCCCGCUGUUCUGACGGUACCCAAAGAAUAAGCACCGGCUAACUUCGUG
rnacentral:rRNA from 1 species